GGACUACUAGGGUUUCUAAUCCGUUUUGCUCCCCACGCUUUCGUGCCUCAAUGUCAGUAACAGAAUAGUUAAUUGCCUUCGCCAUUAUUGGUGUUCUCCCAUAUAUCUAUGCAUUUUACCGCUCCACAUGGAAUUCCAUUAACCUCUCCUGUACUCGAGCCGGACAGUAUUGCCAGUUUCCACGAGGUUGAGCCUCGAUUUGCCACUGCCAACUUGCCAGGCCAUCUACGCACCCUUUACGCCCAAUAAUUCCGGAUAACGUUCGCCACCUACGUCUUACCGCGGCUGCUGGCAC
rnacentral:rRNA from 1 species